UACGUAGGGUGCAAGCGUUAAUCGGAAUUACUGGGCGUAAAGGGCGCGUAGGCGGCGACCCAAGUCAGAUGUGAAAGUCCUGGGCUUAACCUGGGGACUGCAUUUGAUACUGGGUUGCUUGAAUUCGGGAGAGGAUAGCGGAAUUCCCAGUGUAGAGGUGAAAUUCGUAGAUAUUGGGAAGAACACCGGUGGCGAAGGCGGCUAUCUGGACCGACAUUGACGCUGAGGCGCGAAAGCGUGGGGAGCAAACAGG
rnacentral:rRNA from 1 species